rnacentral:rRNA from 1 species
CUUGGUCAUUUAGAGGAAGUAAAAGUCGUAACAAGGUUUCCGUAGGUGAACCUGCGGAAGGAUCAUUACAGAGUUCAUGCCCUCACGGGUAGAUCUCCCACCCUUGAAUAUUAUACCUUCGUUGCUUUGGCAGGCCGUGGAAACACCAUGGGCUCCGGCUGAUGCGUGCCUGCCAGAGGAAACAAAACUCUGUUUUUAGUGAUGUCUGAGUACUAUAUAAUAGUUAAAACUUUCAACAACGGAUCUCUUGGUUCUGGCAUCGAUGAAGAACGCAGCGAAAUGCGAUAAGUAAUGUGAAUUGCAGAAUUCAGUGAAUCAUCGAAUCUUUGAACGCACAUUGCGCCCCGUGGUAUUCCGCGGGGCAUGCCUGUUCGAGCGUCAUUUAAACCAAUCCAGCUUGCUGGGUCUUGGGUUCCGCCUUCUGGUGGGCCUUAAAAUCAGUGGCAGCGCCAUCUAGCUCUGAGCGUAGUAAUCUUCUCGCUAUAGGGUCCUGGGUGGUAGCUUGCCAGCUAACCCCUUAUUAUCAAUGGUUGACCUCGGAUCAGGUAGGGAUACCCGCUGAACUUAAGCAUAUCAAUAAGCGGAGGA